AGGGAAACCGAGUCUUAACCGGGCGUUAAGUUGCAGGGUAUAGACCCGAAACCCGGUGAUCUAGCCAUGGGCAGGUUGAAGGUUGGGUAACACUAACUGGAGGACCGAACCGACUAAUGUUGAAAAAUUAGCGGAUGACCUGUGGCUGGGGGUGAAAGGCCAAUCAAACCGGGAGAUAGCUGGUUCUCCCCGAAAGCUAUUUAGGUAGCGCCUCGUGAAUUCAUCUCCGGGGGUAGAGCACUGUUUCGGCUAGGGGGCCAUCCCGGCUUACCAACCCGAUGCAAACUGCGAAUACCGGAGAAUGUUAUCACGGGAGACACACGGCGGGUGCUAACGUCCGUCGUGAAGAGGGAAACAACCCAGACCGCCAGCUAAGGUCCCAAAGUCAUGGUUAAGUGGGAAACGAUGUGGGAAGGCCCAGACAGCCAGGAUGUUGGCUUAGAAGCAGCCAUCAUUUAAAGAAAGCGUAAUAGCUCACUGGUCGAGUCGGCCUGCGCGGAAGAUGUAACGGGGCUAAACCAUGCACCGAAGCUGCGGCAGCGACACUGUGUGUUGUUGGGUAGGGGAGCGUUCUGUAAGCCUGUGAAGGUGUGUCGUGAGGCAUGCUGGAGGUAUCAGAAGUGCGAAUGCUGACAUAAGUAACGAUAAAGCGGGUGAAAAGCCCGCUCGCCGGAAGACCAAGGGUUCCUGUCCAACGUUAAUCGGGGCAGGGUGAGUCGACCCCUAAGGCGAGGCCGAAAGGCGUAGUCGAUGGGAAACGGGUUAAUAUUCCCGUACUUGGUGUUACUGCGAAGGGGGGACGGAGAAGGCUAUGUUGGCCGGGCGACGGUUGUCCCGGUUUAAGCGUGUAGGUGUGUGUUCCAGGUAAAUCCGGUUCACUUUAACACUGAGGCGUGACGACGAGGCACUACGGUGCUGAAGCAACAAAUGCCCUGCUUCCAGGAAAAGCCUCUAAGCAUCAGGUAACAUCAAAUCGUACCCCAAACCGACACAGGUGGUCAGGUAGAGAAUACCAAGGCGCUUGAGAGAACUCGGGUGAAGGAACUAGGCAAAAUGGUGCCGUAACUUCGGGAGAAGGCACGCUGACACGUAGGUGAAGUGAUUUACUCAUGGAGCUGAAGUCAGUCGAAGAUACCAGCUGGCUGCAACUGUUUAUUAAAAACACAGCACUGUGCAAACACGAAAGUGGACGUAUACGGUGUGACGCCUGCCCGGUGCCGGAAGGUUAAUUGAUGGGGUCAGCGCAAGCGAAGCUCCUGAUCGAAGCCCCGGUAAACGGCGGCCGUAACUAUAACGGUCCUAAGGUAGCGAAAUUCCUUGUCGGGUAAGUUCCGACCUGCACGAAUGGCGUAAUGAUGGCCAGGCUGUCUCCACCCGAGACUCAGUGAAAUUGAACUCGCUGUGAAGAUGCAGUGUACCCGCGGCAAGACGGAAAGACCCCGUGAACCUUUACUAUAGCUUGACACUGAACAUUGAGCCUUGAUGUGUAGGAUAGGUGGGAGGCUUUGAAGUGUGGACGCCAGUCUGCAUGGAGCCGACCUUGAAAUACCACCCUUUAAUGUUUGAUGUUCUAACGUGGACCCGUGAUCCGGGUUGCGGACAGUGUCUGGUGGGUAGUUUGACUGGGGCGGUCUCCUCCUAAAGAGUAACGGAGGAGCACGAAGGUUGGCUAAUCCUGGUCGGACAUCAGGAGGUUAGUGCAAUGGCAUAAGCCAGCUUGACUGCGAGCGUGACGGCGCGAGCAGGUGCGAAAGCAGGUCAUAGUGAUCCGGUGGUUCUGAAUGGAAGGGCCAUCGCUCAACGGAUAAAAGGUACUCCGGGGAUAACAGGCUGAUACCGCCCAAGAGUUCAUAUCGACGGCGGUGUUUGGCACCUCGAUGUCGGCUCAUCACAUCCUGGGGCUGAAGUAGGUCCCAAGGGUAUGGCUGUUCGCCAUUUAAAGUGGUACGCGAGCUGGGUUUAGAACGUCGUGAGACAGUUCGGUCCCUAUCUGCCGUGGGCGCUGGAGAACUGAGGGGGGCUGCUCCUAGUACGAGAGGACCGGAGUGGACGCAUCACUGGUGUUCGGGUUGUCAUGCCAAUGGCACUGCCCGGUAGCUAAAUGCGGAAGAGAUAAGUGCUGAAAGCAUCUAAGCACGAAACUUGCCCCGA
rnacentral:rRNA from 1 species